CAGCCGCCGCGGUAAUACGUAGGUGGCAAGCGUUGUCCGGAUUUAUUGGGCGUAAAGCGAGCGCAGGCGGUCAAUUAAGUCUGAUGUGAAAGCCCCCGGCUCAACCGGGGAGGGUCAUUGGAAACUGGUUGACUUGAGUGCAGAAGAGGAGAGUGGAAUUCCAUGUGUAGCGGUGAAAUGCGUAGAUAUAUGGAGGAACACCAGUGGCGAAGGCGACUCUCUGGUCUGUAACUGACGCUGAGGCUCGAAAGCGUGGGUAGCAAACAGGAUUAGAUACCCCGGUAGUCCCUGUCUCUUAUAC
rnacentral:rRNA from 1 species